UUCUGGCGUCAGGAUGAACGCUAGCUACAGGCUUAACACAUGCAAGUCGAGGGGCAGCAGGAUCUUAGCUUGCUAAGAUGCUGGCGACCGGCGCACGGGUGAGUAACGCGUAUCCAACCUUCCCCUUAGUAGGCAUAGCCCGAUGAAAAUCGGAUUAAUACCCUAUGUUUUCCAAUGAGGACAUCUGAGCUGGAACAAAGAUUCAUCGCUAAGGGAUGGGGAUGCGUCCGAUUAGGUAGUCGGCGGGGUAACGGCCCACCGAGCCAUCGAUCGGUAGGGGUUCUGAGAGGAAGGUCCCCCACAUUGGAACUGAGACACGGUCCAAACUCCUACGGGAGGCAGCAGUGAGGAAUAUUGGUCAAUGGGCGAGAGCCUGAACCAGCCAAGUAGCGUGCAAGGAUGACGGCCCUAUGGGUUGUAAACUGCUUUUAUGCGGGGAUAAAGUGUGCCACGUGUGGCGUUUUGUAGGUACCGCAUGAAUAAGGACCGGCUAAUUCCGUGCCAGCCGCAGC
rnacentral:rRNA from 1 species